rnacentral:rRNA from 1 species
AGUCGAGGGGCAGCGGGGUAGUGCUUGCACUACUGCCGGCGACCGGCGCACGGGUGAGUAACACGUAUGGAACCUGCCCGCAGCAGGGGGAUAAGCGGAAGAAAUUCCGUCUAAUACCGCGUAACAACGUUGGGAGGCAUCUCCCGAUGUUUAAAGAUUUAUCGGCUGCGGAUGGCCAUGCGGCGCAUUAGCUAGUCGGCGGGGUAACGGCCCACCGAGGCGACGAUGCGUAGGGGUUCUGAGAGGAAGGUCCCCCACACUGGUACUGAGACACGGACCAGACUCCUACGGGAGGCAGCAGUGAGGAAUAUUGGUCAAUGGCCGAGAGGCUGAACCAGCCAAGUCGCGUGAGGGAUGACGGCCCUACGGGUUGUAAACCUCUUUUGUCGGGGAGCAAAGGGAGUCACGUGUGACUCAUUGAGAGUACCCGAAGAAAAAGCAUCGGCUAACUCCGUGCCAGCAGCCGCGGUAAUACGGAGGAUGCGAGCGUUAUCCGGAUUUAUUGGGUUUAAAGGGUGCGCAGGCGGAGGUGCAAGUCAGCGGUCAAAUUGCGGGGCUCAACCCCGUACUGCCGUUGAAACUGCAUCCCUUGAGUGCGCGAGAAGUAUGCGGAAUGCGUGGUGUAGCGGUGAAAUGCAUAGAUAUCACGCAGAACUCCGAUUGCGAAGGCAGCAUACCGGCGCGCAACUGACGCUCAUGCACGAAAGCGUGGGUAUCGAACAGGAUUAGAUACCCUGGUAGUCCACGCAGUAAACGAUGAACACUAACUGUUCGGCCAGAAUGAUGGCUGAGUGGUACAGCGAAAGCGUUAAGUGUUCCACCUGGGGAGUACGCCGGCAACGGUGAAACUCAAAGGAAUUGACGGGGGCCCGCACAAGCGGAGGAACAUGUGGUUUAAUUCGAUGAUACGCGAGGAACCUUACCCGGGCUCAAACGACACAGGAAUACUUUUGAAAGGAGG